ACGUAGGGGGCGAGCGUUGUCCGGAAUCACUGGGCGUAAAGCGCACGUAGGCGGGCUGUCAAGUCGGCCGUGAAAGGCACGGGCUCAACCUGUGCAUGUCGGUCGAUACUGGCGGUCUGGAGUAUGGGAGAGGGGGCUGGAAUUUGCGGUGUAGCGGUGAAAUGCGUAGAUAUCGGGAGGAACACCAGUGGCGAAGGCAGGUUCCUGGCCCAUGACUGACGCUGAGGUGCGAAAGUCGGAGGAUCGAACGG
rnacentral:rRNA from 1 species